GAACGCGUGCACUUUUCCUCUAGUAGGACGUCGCGAUCCGUUGGGUGUCUGUCUAGGGCUUGAGGUGGAGCCCACGUGAUUUCGAUUGCGUGGACCCUUGAUGUUCCGACAGACUCGCUCGACGGUAUGCAAAUGGCGUGGGGCCGCUACUUAAGUUAGCGUUCGGCCCGUAGCAAGCGCGUUCUGUGUUGACGGCCAUCGGACCUGGUGCCGAUUCUGUCCCGGAACGACUGUUGGUUGCGGUGUUCUCGAACAGACCUCAUUUUUGAAACGCCGAUCAGCGACGCUAUAGAUUUGGGUACUUUCAGGACCCGUCUUGAAACACGGACCAAGGAGUCUAGCAUGUGCGCGAGUCAUUGGGACACGACUAAACCUAAAGGCGUAAUGAAAGUAAAGGUUUACCUUGCGUAGACCGAGGGAGGAUGAGCGGUUUGCCCUUAAAAGUGGCCGCUUCGCACUCC
rnacentral:rRNA from 1 species